AUCGCCCGCUUUCUUUAGGCCUAACACAUGCAAGUCGAACGGCAGCACAGUAAGAGCUUGCUCUUACGGGUGGCGAGUGGCGGACGGGUGAGGAAUACAUCGGAAUCUACUUUUUCGUGGGGGAUAACGUAGGGAAACUUACGCUAAUACCGCAUACGACCUACGGGUGAAAGCAGGGGAUCUUCGGACCUUGCGCGAUUGAAUGAGCCGAUGUCGGAUUAGCUAGUUGGCGGGGUAAAGGCCCACCAAGGCGACGAUCCGUAGCUGGUCUGAGAGGAUGAUCAGCCACACUGGAACUGAGACACGGUCCAGACUCCUACGGGAGGCAGCAGUGGGGAAUAUUGGACAAUGGGCGCAAGCCUGAUCCAGCCAUACCGCGUGGGUGAAGAAGGCCUUCGGGUUGUAAAGCCCUUUUGUUGGGAAAGAAAAGCAGCAGGUUAAUACCCCGCUGUUCUGACGGUACCCAAAGAAUAAGCACCGGCUAACUUCGUG
rnacentral:rRNA from 1 species